rnacentral:rRNA from 1 species
ACGGGAGGCAGCAGUGGGGAAUAUUGGGCAAUGGGCGCAAGCCUGACCCAGCAAUGCCGCGUGAAGGAAGAAGGCUUUCGGGUUGUAAACUUCUUUUAAGUGGGACGAUAAUGACGGUACCACUUGAAUAAGCUCCGGCUAACUACGUGCCAGCAGCCGCGGUAAUACGGAAGGUCCGGGCGUUAUCCGGAUUUAUUGGGUUUAAAGGGAGCGUAGGCCGUGCUUUAAGCGUGUUGUGAAAUGUAGGCGCCCAACGUCUGCACUGCAGCGCGAACUGGAGCACUUGAGUACGCAGGAAGUAGGCGGAAUUCGUCGUGUAGCGGUGAAAUGCUUAGAUAUGACGAAGAACUCCGAUUGGGGAGCCAGCUUACUGUAGCGCCACUGACACUGAUGCUCGAAAGCGUGGGUAUCGAACAGGAUUAGAUACCCUGGUA